CUUCGAUCUUGUAAUCGGCGACAAAGUCUACUUGAGGAUUAAUCGAAUCGGACGUCAAUAAACAUCCAUUAUCCAGAUCUAAGCUAAAAAAAAAAAAAACGAGCGUUAUCGCUAACCAUCGUCUUGGAUCGAAUCGGGUCCAGAAAGCGAAGGGAGUCAACUUGAGUCAAGGAGAACCUCUGUAAAUUGCCACACGUGAUUAUACCGGAGAAACUAAUGCCAGUUUCAAGGAAACGCAGCGUGCAUUGCUCUUGUGAAAUCAGCAAGGAGUUGUGCACAACGUUUACCGAUGCAUCGAAAAUUGUGACAAAAAUGAAAAGUAGCAAUAGGGUCAAAGUCUGUUUCAGUCGAUUCUCUGUCUAAUUUGAAUCCGUGGAAGAUAUUUUUCUUCAGGUUUCUUUGGACAAACUUGCAAAUGUGACAAGUGGUUGUUCAAUGAUACAGGUUUCUCUCCUGCGUCCCUAUGAAAAGUUUUAGCCUCUAGUGAAACCUGUAGAAAACUGAAUAUCAAAUACUGAUUGUAC